GAUGAACGCUGGCGGCGUGCCUAAUACAUGCAAGUCGAGCGAAUGGAUUGAGAGCUUGCUCUUAUGAAGUUAGCGGCGGACGGGUGAGUAACACGUGGGUAACCUGCCCAUAAGACUGGGAUAACUCCGGGAAACCGGGGCUAAUACCGGAUAACAUUUUGAACCGCAUGGUUCGAAAUUGAAAGGCGGCUUCGGCUGUCACUUAUGGAUGGACUCGCGUCGCAUUAGCUAGUUGGCGAGGUAACGGCUCACCAAGGCAACGAUGCGUAGCCGACCUGAGAGGGUGAUCGGCCACACUGGGACUGAGACACGGCCCAGACUCCUACGGGAGGCAGCAGUAGGGAAUCUUCCGCAAUGGACGAAAGUCUGACGGAGCAACGCCGCGUGAGUGAUGAAGGCUUUCGGGUCGUAAAACUCUGUUGUUAGGGAAGAACAAGUGCUAGUUGAAUAAGCUGGCACCUUGACGGUACCUAACCAGAAAGCCACGGCUAACUACGUGCCAGCCGCCGCCGUAA
rnacentral:rRNA from 1 species